UAAGACGAACCGUGCGAACGUUGUUCGGAAUCACUGGGCUUAAAGGGCGCGUAGGCGGCAGCGUUAGUCCGGGGUGAAAGCCCCCAGCUUAACUGGGGAAGGGCCUUGGAUACUGCGUUGCUCGAGGAAGGUAGGGGUCGAGGGAACUUCUGGUGGAGCGGUGAAAUGCGUUGAUAUCAGAAGGAACGCCGGUGGCGAAAGCGCUCGACUGGACCUUUUCUGACGCUGAGGCGCGAAAGCUAGGGGAGCAAACGGGAUUAGAUACCCCGGUAGUCCUAGCCCUAAACGAUGAGCACUAGCUUGUGGACUAGUCAUGGGUUCACAGGCGAAGCAAAAGUUUUAAGUGCUCCGCCUGGGGAGUAUGGUCGCAAGGCUG
rnacentral:rRNA from 1 species